rnacentral:rRNA from 1 species
AACGAACGCUGGCGGCAUGCCUAACACAUGCAAGUCGAACGAGACCUUCGGGUCUAGUGGCGCACGGGUGCGUAACGCGUGGGAACCUGCCCUUAGGUUCGGAAUAACUCCCCGAAAGGGGUGCUAAUACCGGAUAAUGUCUUCGGACCAAAGAUUUAUCGCCUUUGGAUGGGCCCGCGUUGGAUUAGCUAGUUGGUAGGGUAAAAGCCUACCAAGGCGACGAUCCAUAGCUGGUCUGAGAGGAUGAUCAGCCACACUGGGACUGAGACACGGCCCAGACUCCUACGGGAGGCAGCAGUGGGGAAUAUUGGACAAUGGGCGAAAGCCUGAUCCAGCAAUGCCGCGCGAGUGAUGAAGGCCUUAGGGUUGUGAAGCUCUUUUACCCGGGAUGAUAAUGACAGUACCGGGAGAAUAAGCUCCGGCUAACUCCGUG